UUAAAUUAUGAUUAAUAUAAUUAAAUUUUAUUUUGUAUUUAAAAGUUGAGAGAGACGGAAGCUUUCCCGCCAGUGGGCGUGGUUUUAGCGCCGACAGCGGACACGCCCCCAGCGUUUGAGAGCACAGAAUCCUGAAUGUUUGAAGAUUUUAAUAACUUAUUUUUUUAUUUGGCGGGUUGUAAUUUUUAAAAUUUGACCGAGUGAGUCACAUUUUCUGUGGUGUCAUAAACUGAGAACACAUUUAAUAUUGGACUUUACGCGUCUUGAAGACAUUUACUCCUACUUCUUGUGGAUAUCGCUGCAGUUUCAGUUGUUACACAUUAUUUGAAAGUAAACAUCCUAAAACUGACUAAACAACAAUUUAGACAGAAAACGUGCACUACAAGAGAGGAAACACUUAAAAAUCGGCAUUUUGGUUCUGAAGAGGCAUUUGGGGUUCACGACAUGCAGUCUGUGUUUCUCUCAUUUCACUCUAUCUCUGUCAGCCAGCUGUGUUGGACUGCGGUCUCUGAAGGCCGCGGUGUUGACACGUCCGUCCAGCUCUGGAUCGUAGGCAACUUAAACAAUGCAACAAGCAAUGGCGUGAAUAUGAACAUAUCUGGCACAGACACAGUGGAAGGGAGGAGAAGGAACACAAAGGAGGAGGGAAAAAAGAACGGCAGGCGACCAGAGGACGGGCCGGAAACUUGGGAUUUUCCAGCAGAAGCGAAUGCAAUGUGUAGAUUUGGCUGGGUUGAAUUUAGCUGACGCCAAGAGAAGCAACAGCCAAUGAGUGACAAAAUCAUUGCUUAAGUUGACCUUACCACAUUUAUACAGUACAUCAGCAGAA